CGCGGGGUGGAGCAGCCUGGUAGCUCGUCGGGCUCAUAACCCGAAGGCCGUGGGUUCAAAUACGGCCCCCGCAACCA
rnacentral:tRNA from 1 species